ACCGUCAAAGUAAAACAAUAGUCGGUGACAUACAAAAACAUAAAACUGCCCUCGCACGCUAAUUGAGGAUUUAGGGUUAUACGUGCCGUCUUCGAUCUCUCCACCGCUAUUCUUUUCUUGGUUUCGUCGGGUCAUUCUUCAGCAAAGGUUGUCUGAUGUGAAUGCGGCCUUUCUUGGCGGUGUUGGUGGCCGACGAGAUUUCAGUUGCAUCGGCGACAAGAAGCAUAUCAAUUUAAUUGGUUUUCCCGCAAAGCUUUCGGAGACCUCAGCAGGUUCGACCGCUAAUCCGGAGAAAUCGGCCAUUCUCAUAAAAAUGCCACCUCUACUUACCCAGUGAGUGGUGUGGAUGGAACUAUCGAGCAAAAGACGCAUCUUUAUCAUUGCUACAAGCGUUUUGACUCGAAUUCCAGAAGAAGGGAUUUGAUUCACUCCAAACUUUAAAUUUGUUGUCCAAUUUGCUCUCGGGGAGGUUCUAAGUUCUAAGCAGCUGUUUGGUGAAGUUAUCUGAAGACUGCUUUCUUGGAGACCGAGUUUUUUUCUCUACUAGCCAUUUCUGCGGUUAUGAGAUAGGGUCCCGAUGAGAAAUUAUGUGGAUGAAAUUGAAUCACUUGUUUGGCGAAGUUAUCUUUGUAUUUUUUACAUGUUAUAUCUUUUAUGUAAUUUGUAUUAAGAAAUAAUGAUAAUUACAUGUUUUAAA